UGGUUCAGUGGUAGAAUCCUUGUCUACCAUGCAGGAGACCUGGGUUCAAUUCCCAG
rfam:Alligator mississippiensis ScZkoYb_99, whole genome shotgun sequence.